rnacentral:rRNA from 1 species
GAUGAACGCUAGCGACAGGCUUAACACAUGCAAGUCGAGGGGCAGCAUAGAAGUAGCAAUACUUUGGUGGCGACCGGCGAACGGGUGAGUAACACGUAGGAAUCUACCUUAAGACGGGACAACCCAGGGAAACUUGGGCUAAUACCGGAUGAGAGUGCGAGAGAUUGCAUUUAAAAGGAUGGCGAAAGUUGUCGCUUAGGGAUGAGCCUGCGGUCUAUUAGUUAGUUGGUGAGGUAAGAGCUCACCAAGGCGAUGAUAGAUAGGCGGCCUUAACGGGUGGUCGCCCACACUGGGAUUGAGAUACGGCCCAGACUCCUACGGGAGGCAGCAGUCGAGAAUAGUCUACAAUGGCCGGAAGGCUGAUAGUGCGACGCCGCGUGAACGAGGGAGCCCUUCGGGGUGUAAAGUUCUUUUCUAUACGAGCAGUGCUAUAUAUAUGGAUAGUAUAUAUAGAGGGAUAGUAGUAUAGGAAUAAGCAACGGCUAACUCCGUG